rnacentral:rRNA from 1 species
GACGAACGCUGGCGGCGUGCCUAAUACAUGCAAGUUGAGCGCUGAAGGUUGGUACUUGUACCAACUGGAUGAGCAGCGAACGGGUGAGUAACGCGUGGGGAAUCUGCCUUUGAGCGGGGACAACAUUUGGAAACGAAUGCUAAUACCGCAUAAAAACUUUAAACACCAGUUUUAAGUUUGAAAGAUGCAAUUGCAUCACUCAAAGAUGAUCCCGCGUUGUAUUAGCUAGUUGGUGAGGUAAAGGCUCACCAAGGCGAUGAUACAUAGCCGACCUGAGAGGGUGAUCGGCCACAUUGGGACUGAGACACGGCCCAAACUCCUACGGGAGGCAGCAGUAGGGAAUCUUCGGCAAUGGACGAAAGUCUGACCGAGCAACGCCGCGUGAGUGAAGAAGGUUUUCGGAUCGUAAAACUCUGUUGGUAGAGAAGAACGUUGGUGAGAGUGGAAAGCUCAUCAAGUGACGGUAACUACCCAGAAAGGGACGGCUAACUACGUG